AAUAGUUCUGUGGGAUAUUGGAGAUGAACAAACUAUGAUGGUCGCAAAUGAUAUCUUGAUGAUUCAGACGGUGAAUGUGAUUAUUCAGAAGAUGAAGAAACUUCAACUCCUAGGAAGGUGAGCACUGGAUAGUUGACGUUCCCUUAUGAUUACAAUCUUGGCCCUAUAAUCUGCUUAAGUUGGCAGGAAAAGGCAAUAUUUGUCCAUCCCUAUUUGUUCCUGCUAUUGUAGCACGUUUUUGUUACCUUGUUCACUUACUCCGUUCAACUCCCGAUAAAGUUUAGCACUUAAGCUAAAUUUUCUUUUUAUCUUAGGUGACAAACAAAAAGGUGUUGAUGUGGCGACUUGGAUCCUCAUGUGACAAUGAAGGCUAGAAAUAUUGCUACAUAUGACCACUAAUUAAAGGAGAAGUCCCCCAAUGUAGAAGAUAGAGACUGUUUUUUUAGACAAACGCAGAAACUGUAUCCUAGUGAUAGUGACAAGUGGUGGAAAG
rnacentral:lncRNA from 1 species